rnacentral:rRNA from 1 species
UAAAGCGCGCGCAGGUGGUUUCUUAAGUCUGAUGUGAAAGCCCACGGCUCAACCGUGGAGGGUCAUUGGAAACUGGGAGACUUGAGUGCAGAAGAGGAAAGUGGAAUUCCAUGUGUAGCGGUGAAAUGCGUAGAGAUAUGGAGGAACACCAGUGGCGAAGGCGACUUUCUGGUCUGUAACUGACACUGAGGCGCGAAAGCGUGGGGAGCAAACAGGAUUAGAUACC